GCGGAAGUAGCUCAGUUGGUAGAGCUCCAGCCUUCCAAGCUGGUUGUCGCGAGUUAUUAUCUUUAGGA
rnacentral:tRNA from 1 species